CUCCAUACCCACGCUGCUCCCCAAGGAGAUGCUGCAGGCCCUCCAGCUGAGUUCCAGCCCUAAGGAGAACCAAAGGUCUUGUUUGUCCCUUCAACAGCCAAACUGGAGAUGGAAAGGCACAUCUGUCUGAUCAGAGAUUGAGAAGAACCUGGACGUGACCUCAGAGGCAGCUGGAGUGAAGUGAAGACAAGGGAACUGCUGCCAAGGAGAGGCCAUCAAGUGAUGAGAGGAUACAGCCUUUUCAUGGAAAUAAUAUUUCCUCCUCUAUGUCUGCUGCACUUGGCACACAAUGGAGUCUCAUUACUCAACAGAACCUCUACGUGCCAUGAAAAAUAAAUUAUUAAACUCCAGCCAUUUCGCAAAGACUGGCUUUAUGAUAGCUGGCAUGGUGCAUGGCCUGGGAGCUGCACACAAAUACUCGAGAAGGAUGAAAUGCUGUUUGGCUUCCACCAACAGAGAUAAGAAAUGCACACCUGCCCCCCUGAGAGUCUCCAGCUGCACUGGCAAUUCCUAGUAACUGUGGGUGAGAGCAGAAUUUGGGGCACCAGUGGGGCCCACCACUGCUUUACUGUUGUGUCUAGAUUCAGCAGCUUCUUCUCAUCUGUAAUUUACUGUGUUUUCCCCUGAAAAUAUAGCUUCCCUCACCCUGGGGAAGCGUGAGGAAAUCUCUGGGUUUUCUCUUCAACACAUGCUGUAGCUUCUACCCUGAGUACUUUAGGUGUUUGAGUAACAAUGCAAAAAAGGACAACCCCUCAGUUUGGAUAUAAUUUCUAAACCUCUCCAUCAGAAGUUUCAAGUGACAGCUGAUGGAGGGACAGGGCAUGUCAAUCCCAUCAUGUGGCUCUGCCUUGUGUAAGAAGUGCAGGAUUAAUCCCUGCUAAUGCCCCACAAGCAUCGUCCAGACAGGGUUAUACAAGCACCUGGAGCUUCACCAGGUGAAGCUUUGGGUGCCCCUGUGAGGCUGCAGGAGUGUGUUACCAGCAGGGGAGGUCCCAGAGUGCCAGCUGAGCCGGGUGGCAGUCGGUGUGGCACUCCCCAGGUGCCUUGGCAGCACCCCCUGUGCCCGAGCUGCCAUGCGUGGCUGAACAUGCUUUGGCAAGGACGGCUGCCACCUGCUCCUCUGCAAUGAGGACCUGGCUUCCAGAAUUUUAAACAUAAGGGAUAGCAAAACAGUCAUGAAGAUUCAUUGCUAUAGUGACCAGUCAUAGGGGUUGCAGAGAAAAGCAGCUUCACGUGAUUUAUGUUACAAAGGUACCUGCUGUAAGUUAGAACAGUCCUAAGGAUGCUGUGAUCUAUAGCAGCCUCCUAAGGCAAACCAGAAUCCCCUUUUCAUAAGCAGUACAUCUGUUUAUGUAAAGAGGAGAAAACAUUACAAGUCUUACGAUGUUCUUUCCUGCCAAGGAAAAAUCUGAAGCACUAAAUGUGCAGAGUGACUUGGUGAAUCAAAGCUGGGCAAUGGCUUUAAA